rnacentral:rRNA from 1 species
GAUGAACGCUGGCGGCGUGCCUAAUACAUGCAAGUCGAGCGAACAGAUAAGGAGCUUGCUCCUUUGACGUUAGCGGCGGACGGGUGAGUAACACGCGGGUAACCUACCUAUAAGACUGGGAUAACUUCGGGAAACCGGAGCUAAUACCGGAUAAUAUUUCGAACCGCAUGGUUCGAUAGUGAAAGAGGGUUUUGCUAUCACUUAUAGAUGGACCCGUGCCGUAUUAGCUAGUUGGUAAGGUAACGGCUUACCAAGGCGACGAUACGUAGCCGACCUGAGAGGAUGAUCGGCCACACUGGAACUGAGACACGGUCCAGACUCCUACGGGAGGCAGCAGUAGGGAAUCUUCCGCAAUGGGCGAAAGCCUGACGGAGCAACGCCGCGUGAGUGAUGAAGGUCUUCGGAUCGUAAAACUCUGUUAUUAGGGAAGAACAUACGUGUAAGUAACUGUGCACGUCUUGACGGUACCUAAUCAGAAAGCCACGGCUAACUACGUG